AGGACUGCUCCUACGCAAGGUUUUUCCACCUUUUAAUGGGGCGAUUGGUGGCUAAUCGGGUGCACCACUGGGGAGUGCCAAUAUAACCGACAGGUGGUUUCAAAGGCUCUCAUUGGCCGAUACAUAGCAUGCGCAAUCCAGGGUUUACAUACGUCAUUGGAAUAAAUGGACCCGUCUCGGAUGCCGUACUAAACCCGGACAGGAUGUGGCUUUGAAUUACGUUACAUGAAUUUGUUAGCUAAGAACAACGACUUGUAAGCAUAAUGACAAAAACAUGUUGCCCCAAGAAAAAAUAGCUUUUGUAUCAAAGUAGAGGAUCGUGGCGGGGAUGUGGCUACGUUAUGGGAAACGUUUUCGGGAGAAAGAGUCGCCCUUCUCGAGUCACAGAACAAGACCGAGCGAUUCUGCAACUGAAACAGCAGAGAGAUAAACUGAAGCACUACCAGAAGAGAGUCACCCUGCAGCUGGAGAAGGAGAGGAGUCUGGCCAAGCAGCUGCUGAAGGAUGGAAAGAAAGAGAAGGCACUGGUUCUUCUCAAGAAGAAGCGUUAUCAGGAUCAACUGCUAGACAAGACUGAGACCCAGAUAUCAAACCUGGAACGCAUGGCCAUGUCACUAGAGGAUGUGGAGAGGAUCAUGGAUGAGACCCAGGAUGCUAUAGAAUACCAGAGGCAAAUAGAUGAGAUGCUGUCAGGCUCCCUGACUCAGGAGGAUGAGGAUGCUGUGCUAUCUGAGCUGGAGGCUAUCACUCAGGGAGAAGAUGUAGAACUUCCAGAGGUCCCCACUGAGCCUCUACCAGAGGUCCCAGAACCAGCUGAAACAGAGCCAGAGAGAAGACCAGCAAGGAACAAGGAGAACAGAGAGAUGCUGGCAGCGUAGAGACAAGACUUAACAAUAACAACAGUAGCUGGAGUUAGUCCAACUGACUCAAUAACAACAAUAUCAACAGUAGCUGUGGAUGGAGCUAGUCCAACUGACAACAAUAACAACAGUAGCUGUGGAUGGAGCUAGUCCAACUGACUCAACAACAACAAUAUCAACAGUAGCUGUGGAUGGAGCUAGUCCAACUGACUCAACAACAACAAUAACAACAGUAGCUGUGGAUGGAGCUAGUCCAACUGACUCAACAACAACAAUAACAACAGUAGCUGUGGAUGGAGUUAGUCCAACUGACUCAACAACAACAAUAUCAACAGUAGCUGUGGAUGGAGUUAGUCCAACUGACUCAAUAACAACAAUAUCAACAGUAGCUGUGGAUGGAGUUAGUCCAACUGACUCAACAACAACAAUAACAGCAGUAGCUGUGGAUGGAGCUAGUCCAACUGACAACAAUAACAGUAGCUGUGGAUGGAGUUAGUCCAACUGACUCAACAACAACAAUAUCAACAGUAGCUGUGGAUGGAGUUAGUCCAACUGACUCAAUAACAACAAUAUCAACAGUAGCUGUGGAUGGAGCUAGUCCAACUGACUCAACAACAACAAUAUCAACAGUAGCUGUGGAUGGAGUUAGUCCAACUGACUCAAUAACAACAAUAACAACAGUAGCUGUGGAUGGAGCUAGUCCAACUGACAACAAUAACAACAAUAUCAACAGUAGCUGUGGAUGGAGUUAGUCCAACUGACUCAACAACAACAAUAUCAACAGUAGCUGUGGAUGGAGCUAGUCCAACUGACAACAAUAACAACAGUAGCUGUGGAUGGAGCUAGUCCAACUGACAACAAUAACAACAAUAUCAACAGUAGCUGUGGAUGGAGCUAGUCCAACUGACUCAACAACAACAAUAUCAACAGUAGCUGUGGAUGGAGCUAGUCCAACUGACUCAACAACAACAACAGUAGCUGUGGAUGGAGCUAGUCCAACUGACUCAACAACAACAAUAUCAACAGUAGCUGUGGAUGGAGUUAGUCCAACUGACUCAACAACAACAAUAUCAACAGUAGCUGUGGAUGGAGCUAGUCCAACUGACUCAAUAACAACAGUAGCUGUGGAUGGAGUUAGUCCAACUGACUCAACAACAACAACAGUAGCUGUGGAUGGAGUUAGUCCAACUGACUCAACAACAACAACAACAGUAGCUGUGGAUGGAGCUAGUCCAACUGACUCAACAAUAACAACAGUAGCUGUGGAUGGAGCUAGUCCAACUGACUCAACAACAACAAUAUCAACAGUAGCUGUGGAUGGAGCUAGUCCAACUGACUCAACAACAACAAUAACAACAGUAGCUGUGGAUGGAGCUAGUCCAACUGACUCAACAACAACAAUAUCAACAGUAGCUGUGGAUGGAGUUAGUCCAACUGACUCAACAACAACAAUAUCAACAGUAGCUGUGGAUGGAGUUAGUCCAACUGACUCAACAAUAUCAACAGUAGCUGUGGAUGGAGCUAGUCCAACUGACUCAACAACAACAAUAUCAACAGUAGCUGUGGAUGGAGUUAGUCCAACUGACUCAACAACAACAAUAACAACAGUAGCUGUGGAUGAAGCUAGUCCAACUGACAACAAUAACAACAAUAUCAACAGUAGCUGUGGAUGGAGUUAGUCCAACUGACUCAACAACAACAAUAUCAACAGUAGCUGUGGAUGGCGCUAGUCCAACUGACAACAAUAACAACAGUAGCUGUGGAUGGAGCUAGUCCAACUGACAACAAUAACAACAAUAUCAACAGUAGCUGUGGAUGGAGCUAGUCCAACUGACUCAACAACAACAAUAUCAACAGUAGCUGUGGAUGGAGCUAGUCCAACUGACUCAAUAACAACAACAGUAGCUGUGGAUGGAGCUAGUCCAACUGACUCAACAACAACAAUAUCAACAGUAGCUGUGGAUGGAGUUAGUCCAACUGACUCAACAACAACAAUAACAACAGUAGCUGUGGAUGGAGCUAGUCCAACUGACUCAAUAACAACAGUAGUUGUGGAUGGAGUUAGUCAAACUGACAACAAUAACAACAGUAGCUGUGGAUGGAGCUAGUCCAACUGACUCAACAACAACAAUAUCAACAGUAGCUGUGGAUGGAGCUAGUCCAACUGACUCAACAACAACAAUAACAACAGUAGCUGUGGAUGGAGCUAGUCCAACUGACUCAACAACAACAAUAUCAACAGUAGCUGUGGAUGGAGCUAGUCCAACUGACUCAACAACAACAAUAACAACAGUAGCUGUGGAUGGAGUUAGUCCAACUGACUCAACAACAACAAUAUCAACAGUAGCUGUGGAUGGAGUUAGUCCAACUGACUCAAUAACAACAAUAUCAACAGUAGCUGUGGAUGGAGCUAGUCCAACUGACUCAACAACAACAAUAUCAACAGUAGCUGUGGAUGGAGCUAGUCCAACUGACAACAAUAACAACAGUAGCUGUGGAUGGAGCUAGUCCAACUGACAACAAUAACAACAAUAUCAACAGUAGCUGUGGAUGGAGCUAGUCCAACUGACUCAACAACAACAAUAUCAACAGUAGCUGUGGAUGGAGCUAGUCCAACUGACUCAAUAACAACAACAGUAGCUGUGGAUGGAGCUAGUCCAACUGACUCAACAACAACAAUAUCAACAGUAGCUGUGGAUGGAGUUAGUCCAACUGACUCAACAACAACAAUAACAACAGUAGCUGUGGAUGGAGCUAGUCCAACUGACUCAAUAACAACAGUAGCUGUGGAUGGAGUUAGUCCAACUGACUCAACAAUAACAACAGUAGCUGUGGAUGGAGCUAGUCCAACUGACUCAACAACAACAAUAUCAACAGUAGCUGUGGAUGGAGCUAGUCCAACUGACUCAACAACAACAAUAUCAACAGUAGCUGUGGAUGGAGCUAGUCCAACUGACUCAACAACAACAAUAUCAACAGUAGCUGUGGAUGGAGUUAGUCCAACUGACUCAACAACAACAAUAACAACAGUAGCUGUGGAUGGAGUUAGUCCAACUGACUCAACAACAACAAUAUCAACAGUAGCUGUGGAUGGAGUUAGUCCAACUGACUCAAUAACAACAAUAUCAACAGUAGCUGUGGAUGGAGCUAGUCCAACUGACUCAACAACAACAAUAUCAACAGUAGCUGUGGAUGGAGUUAGUCCAACUGACUCAAUAACAACAAUAUCAACAGUAGCUGUGGAUGGAGUUAGUCCAACUGACUCAACAAUAUCAACAGUAGCUGUGGAUGGAGUUAGUCCAACUGACUCAACAACAACAAUAUCAACAGUAGCUGUGGAUGGAGCUAGUCCAACUGACAACAAUAACAACAGUAGCUGUGGAUGGAGCUAGUCCAACUGACAACAAUAACAACAAUAUCAACAGUAGCUGUGGAUGGAGCUAGUCCAACUGACAACAAUAACAACAAUAUCAACAGUAGCUGUGGAUGGAGCUAGUCCAACUGACUCAACAACAACAAUAUCAACAGUAGCUGUGGAUGGAGCUAGUCCAACUGACUCAACAACAACAAUAUCAACAGUUGCUGUGGAUGGAGUUAGUCCAACUGACUCAACAACAACAAUAACAACAGUAGCUGUGGAUGGAGCUAGUCCAACUGACUCAAUAACAACAGUAGUUGUGGAUGGAGUUAGUCAAACUGACAACAAUAACAACAGUAGCUGUGGAUGGAGCUAGUCCAACUGACUCAACAACAACAAUAUCAACAGUAGCUGUGGAUGGAGCUAGUCCAACUGACUCAACAACAACAAUAUCAACAGUAGCUGUGGAUGGAGCUAGUCCAA
rnacentral:lncRNA from 1 species